UACGUAGGCGGCAAGCGUUGUCCGGAUUUAUUGGGUUUAAAGGGUGCGUAGGCGGUUUUGUAAGUCAGUGGUGAAGUAUGUCAGCUUAACUGAGAGGGUGCCAUUGAUACUGCAGAACUUGAGUACAGAUGAGGUAGGCGAAAUUGACGGUGUAGCGGUGAAAUGCUUAGAUAUCGUCAAGAACACCUAUAGCGAAGGCAGCUUACGAGGCUGUAAAUGACGAUGAGGCACGAAAGUGUGGGGAUCAAACAGG
rnacentral:rRNA from 1 species